rnacentral:rRNA from 1 species
UACAGAGGGGGGCAAGCGUUAUUCGGAAUUAUUGGGCGUAAAGGGCGCGUAGGCGGUCGUGCAAGUGGAAGGUGAAAUCCCUCGGCUCAACCGAGGAACUGCCUUUCAAACUGCAUGACUUGAGUCCGGGAGAGGUGAGUGGAAUUCCCAGUGUAGCGGUGAAAUGCGUAGAUAUUGGGAGGAACACCAGUGGCGAAGGCGGCUCACUGGACCGGAACUGACGCUGAGGCGCGAAAGCGUGGGGAGCAAACCGG